UACAGGGAAAAAAAUUUUUAAUGAUGUAAGUGCAGUAAUAAUUGCAUAAUUAUUAUUUUGUAGUAGAAAGCCCAUGAUAAGGAUGCCCGCCAUGACACCGUUGAAUUAACUGAAAAAUUAUUUAUUAUAAUAUGACUAUUACUGCACUUACACAGUCAAACUUUAUCUAUUCUCAUUUAUAAAAUUGUUCUCAACACUUAUAAAUAUUUUUCACAUGAAAAAAACAAACAAAAAAUAUUUAAUUUGAUGAUAAAAAUUUGAGACGAUUUAAGGUUAGGGAAGUCUACCCUUAAAAUUUAAAUAUUCGCGCGCCUUAUAAUUAAAAAAUAAUUGUCGAUAAUCGAUAUCGAUUAUAAAUGUACAUAUAUCGACACCACCCUUAUCAUCAACUUCAUUCUGUUUGGAUGUCAGCAUCAUGGCUUGUAAAAAUGAUAUUGGAUGGAAUAGAUUUUUUUCUAUCAUUUUCAAAAGUGAGAAUGAAAUUUCUAUAAUGAUUUUGCAGUGCCUUGUAAUCAUUGGCAAGCGAUAUAAAAAAAAGAAAAAAAGUAUCGAGGUUAGAAAAAAUGUUAAAAAAAAUUUCACACCCUUGUGGAAGCAUGGAUUGAAAAAGAAAAAUUGUGUCGAGUAUCGCAGUACACAUUCUCAUGUCUUGAUUGACGUUUGAAUCGUUUUCAUGUGCAUACAUAAACGUUUCGUUUCGACUUUAUUGGAAAGUGGUCGGCAAAAAAAAUCAUCUCCUGUGGAUUUUUUCUUUCUCUACUGCUUUUCCUAUUGCUUCAACGUCUUCUUUUCGAUUUUUAAAUAGAAUCCAAUCAGAAUCACUUUCAUAUACAAACGAUUUAAGGAUAAAGAAGCCCCAUGGACUAAGGAACUCAACAAUUGUGAGGAUCGAUAAGAGAGGUUAUUUGAAUAUCUAAAAAAAAAAGGUUACAAAAAAUGAUUUUUUCAACUUGUAGGUCAGCUUUAGGGUUACUUUUUUCCUGGUAUUCUCCUCCUUCUUUCGUGAUAGGUCUCGGGUCUUUGUCUUGCUGGGGUUGGGGAAAAGAUACUUUCGUUAGAAGGAAGGGUUUCAACCCUUUCAGUGAAUACGAGACAUGCGCACAGUGUUAAUUACUUGGCAAAAUGGCGGACUCUUUUGAAGAUAAUGGCGAAAUUUGCAAGUUUUUGGAAAUUGUGGGAACAUUUGAAUAAUCAUAUCUCUGGCAAUACAUCUGUGUUCCACAACGCUACCAAACUUCAGACUGAUCAAAAUCAUUGCAAUGAUUCAUCAACGUUCUUUGGAGAUCAUGCUGCUGUUGGAGGAUUCAUCAUGUCUUACAAUAUUAAUAUUCAUGAUUCUUAUUUAAAUUAUCAACAAAAAUGAUCUUACCCUAGAGUUGUCAUCAUCAUGUGGAAUUGUUUUUUAUUUUUCAACAAAUGGAUCCAGAAAAAUGAUGGAGAGUAGCUUUCAACAACCUCUACUUCAAUUAAAUUAAUUCCAAUUUUACCAUUAUUAUUCAUCUUUAAAUCAGUAACUAAGAUUUCUCCAACUGACUCAUAAUCAGUGGUUGUUGUGGUAACAACAUCAUCCAAACAUAAUUGUUUCUGAGAGCCAACAGGAACACUUGGUGGAAAUUCAAUAUCAUCUUCUGCUUUAGCAUAAAUCAAUCCAUUUUUUAUUGUAAUCAUCUUACGAAGAGUCUUUAAAUGAUAAUUAAGACUUUUAUUUGAUUCAUUAAGACAACAAUUAAGUCUCAAUUCUAUUCAUCAUCUUUAAAAUCAUCAGCCUUGGAUGUAUUUAUUAUUUUUAGUUUAUUUAUUUAUUUAAAAGAAUUACAGAGGUUCAACAACAUGAGCAAAACCUAGAUCCAUAGAUAAAAAAAUUUUUAAAGAAGCGAGAAAAAUGAAUAAUACAUCAUGAAUUAGUUAGCAGUUCUCCAGAUGCAUAUCCACUAUCUCAAGUCAGCCUAAAAAAAAAUCUACCCCUAAUGAUUUUUUUUUUACCAUCAACCCUUUCUAAUUCUCUUGCUAGUGUCUCUCGUGCGCAUCUCAUGAAUAAUUUCUCGUAGUCCUAGGGUUGAUCGUGAAAGCUUGUAGCUUAUAUAUAUGCUCUCAGGGAAGGAAAAAAAAGAUGGGAAAAAAGAGAGGCGGGGGUGCAAAGGAGGGUGGAAAGGAUGAAACCGGACUGUGGCGUUUAGAAUCCCUGUAGAUAAAAAAGAAGUCCGUGGCCACCCUAAAAAAUAUAUAAGAGAGGGUUAGAGAAAAUCUACCCCACAGCUUCGAUUGCUCUGACUCACCCGCGAUCACUACCCCUAUUUUUUUUUCAACCCCUAAAAAGUUCGCGGAUCCGCGAAGGGUCGAAAUAAAAAAUCUUUGAUUCUUUAAAAUAUUCUUCGUCUUUAAU
rnacentral:lncRNA from 1 species